rnacentral:tRNA from 1 species
UGGAUUGUAGCUCAGAAGUAGAGCACUUGUCUAGCAUGUGUGAGGCACUGGGUUCGAUUCUCAGCACUGCAU